AGAAACUUAGGAUUACAUAAACCGAAGGCCUUCAAAGCCUUAAACAAGAGUUAGACCCUCUUAGUUUCUGC
rnacentral:tRNA from 1 species